CUAUUGUUAGUUGCUACGCAAGAGCACUCUAGCGAGACUGCCGUUGACAAAACGGAGGAAGGCGGGGACGACGUCAAAUCAUCAUGCCCCUUAUGUCCCGGGCUACACACGUAAUACAAUGGCGGUCAACAAAGGGAAGCAAAGCCGCGAGGCAGAGCAAAUCCCAAAAAGCCGUCUCAGUUCGGAUUGCAGGCUGCAACUCGCCUGCAUGAAGUUGGAAUUGCUAGUAAUCGUAGAUCAGCAUGCU
rnacentral:rRNA from 1 species